rnacentral:rRNA from 1 species
UGGGGGAUAUUGCACAAUAGGCGAAAGCCUGAUGCAGCGACGCCGCGUGGGGGAUGAAGGCCUUCGGGUUGUAAACUUCUUUUGCUCUGAACAAGGCGCACCAUGGGGUGUGUUGAGUGUAGGGGUUGAUUAGCGCCGGCUAACUACGUGCCAGCAGCCGCGGUAAUACGUAGGGCGCGAGCGUUGUCCGGAAUUAUUGGGCGUAAAGGGCUUGUAGGUGGCUGGUUGCGUCUGUCGUGAAAGCUCAUGGCUUAACUGUGGGUUUGCGGUGGGUACGGGCUGGCUUGAGUGCAGUAGGGGAGGCUGGAAUUCCUGGUGUAGCGGUGGAAUGCGCAGAUAUCAGGAGGAAUACCGGUGGCGAAGGCGGGUCUCUGGGCUGUUACUGACACUGAGGAGCGAAAGCAUGGGGAGCGAACAGG